rnacentral:rRNA from 1 species
CUACGUGCCAGCAGCCGCGGUAAUACGUAGGUCCCGAGCGUUGUCCGGAUUUAUUGGGCGUAAAGCGAGCGCAGGCGGUUUGAUAAGUCUGAAGUUAAAGGCUGUGGCUCAACCAUAGUUCGCUUUGGAAACUGUCAAACUUGAGUGCAGAAGGGGAGGGUGGAAUUCCAUGUGUAGCGGUGAAAUGCGUAGAUAUAUGGAGGAACACCGGUGGCGAAAGCGGCUCUCUGGUCUGUAACUGACGCUGAGGCUCGAAAGCGUGGGGAGCGAACAGGAUUAGAUACCCUGGUAGUCCACGCCGUAAACGAUGAGUGCUAGGUGUUGGGUCCUUUCCGGGACUCAGUGCCGCAGCUAACGCAUUAAGCACUCCGCCUGGGGAGUACGACCGCAAGGUUGAAACUCAAAGGAAUUGACGGGGGCCCGCACAAGCGGUGGAGCAUGUGGUUUAAUUCGAAGCAACGCGAAGAACCUUACCAGGUCUUGACAUCCCUCUGACCGCUCUAGAGAUAG